UGUUGCUAAGGUGUUGCUAUGGUAUCUGGGGUGGUUGCUAAGAUGUUGCUACGUGGUUGCUAGGGUGUUGCUAUGGUAUCCGGGGUGGUUGCUAAGGUGUCGCUAGGUGGUUGCUAGGGUGUUGCUAGGUGGUUGCUAAGGUGUUGCUAUGGUAUCUGGGGUGGUUGCUAAGGUGUUUCUAAGUGGUUGCUAGGUGGUUGCUAAGGUGUUGCUAUGGUAUCUGGGGUGGUUGCUAAGGUGUUUCUAGGUGGUUGCUAGGUGGUUGCUAAGGUGUUGCUAUGGUAUCUGGGGUGGUUGCUAAGGUGUUUCUAGGUGGUUGCUAGGUGGUUGCUAAGGUGUUGCUAUGGUA